UAUUCCAAUAAAUUUCAUUGCGAAAGAAAGUUAUCAGUUGUUGAAUAAAAAUAUGAAAUUAAUACAAUUAUUUGUGGCUGUUGUUUGCAUUAUUGCCGGUGCUAUGGCUGCUCCAGGACAUAAUGUGAUAAGUGGCAAUGGUAAUUCCAAUAAUCAUCAAACUAAUUCAGAUGUUGGUAUUGACUUAAAACUUCCAAAAUUGUAAGAUUGUAUUUGUAUUUCUUUGAAAUCCGAGCAUUGUACAUGUCGAAAAUAAUGAUUUAAAGCUCUUUUUAUAUUUUUAUUAAACACUGCAAUAUUUAGGUAACUUAAAAUUAGUAAGAAAAUGUAAAAAUAAAUCCAAAAAUUUUAAAUUAUGUAAAAAAAUAAAAUAUUUGUAUUAAAAAACUGAA